rfam:Camelus ferus unplaced genomic scaffold scaffold557, whole genome shotgun sequence.
GAGGGUAUAGCUCAGUGGUAGAGUGGAUGCUUAGCAUGCAAGAGGUCCUGGGUUCGAUUUUCAGUACUUCCA